AGAGGGAUAGCUGGGUCAAAUGGUGGUUCCAUUUUCAGAUUUCCAAGGAAUCUCCAUACUGCUUUUCCAUAUUGGCUACACCAAUUUGCAGUCCCACCAGCAAU
rnacentral:pre_miRNA from 1 species